rnacentral:ncRNA from 1 species
GGGCUGUAGCCGGUCCCAAGGGUAUGGCUGUUCGCCAUUUAAAGUGGUACGCGAGCUGGGUUUAGAACGUCGUGAGACAGUUUGGUCCCUAUCUGCCGUGGGCGCUGGAGACUUGAGAGAAGCUGCUCCUAGUACGAGAGGACCGGAGUGGACGUACCUCUGGUGUUCGGGUUGUCACGCCAGUGGCAUUGCCCGGUAGCUAUGUACGGAAGGGAUAACCGCUGAAAGCAUCUAAGCGGGAAGCCCUUCUCAAGAUAAGGUCUCCCUGGAGCUUCGAGCUCCCUAAAGGGUCGUUGAAGACUACAACGUUGAUAGGCGGGAUGUGGAAGUAUGGCAACAUAUGAAGCUAACCCGUACUAAUUGCCCGUGAGGCUUGACCAU